rnacentral:rRNA from 1 species
AUACGGAGGGUGCAAGCGUUAAUCGGAAUUACUGGGCGUAAAGCGCACGCAGGCGGUUUGUUAAGUCAGAUGUGAAAUCCCCGGGCUCAACCUGGGAACUGCAUCUGAUACUGGCAAGCUUGAGUCUCGUAGAGGGGGGUAGAAUUCCAGGUGUAGCGGUGAAAUGCGUAGAGAUCUGGAGGAAUACCGGUGGCGAAGGCGGCCCCCGGGACGAGACAUGACGCUAAGGUGCGAAAGCGUGGGGAGAAAACAGGUUUGGAUCCCCGGGUAGUCAACGCCGUAAACGAUGUCGACUUGGAGGUUGUGCCCUUGAGGCGUGGCUUCCGGAGCUAACGCGUUAAGUCGACCGCCUGGGGAGUACGGCCGCAAGGUUAAAACUCAAAUGAAUUGACGGGG